rnacentral:rRNA from 1 species
GCUGGCGGCGUGCCUAAUACAUGCAAGUCGAGCGAACAGAUAAGGAGCUUGCUCCUUUGACGUUAGCGGCGGACGGGUGAGUAACACGUGGGUAACCUACCUAUAAGACUGGGAUAACUUCGGGAAACCGGAGCUAAUACCGGAUAACAUUUGGAACCGCAUGGUUCUAAAGUGAAAGAUGGUUUUGCUAUCACUUAUAGAUGGACCCGCGCCGUAUUAGCUAGUUGGUAAGGUAACGGCUUACCAAGGCGACGAUACGUAGCCGACCUGAGAGGGUGAUCGGCCACACUGGAACUGAGACACGGUCCAGACUCCUACGGGAGGCAGCAGUAGGGAAUCUUCCGCAAUGGGCGAAAGCCUGACGGAGCAACGCCGCGUGAGUGAUGAAGGGUUUCGGCUCGUAAAACUCUGUUAUUAGGGAAGAACAAACGUGUAAGUNACNGUGCACGUCUG